rnacentral:rRNA from 1 species
GACGAACGCUGGCGGCGUGCUUAACACAUGCAAGUCGAACGGAAAGGCCCUGCUUUUGUGGGGUGCUCGAGUGGCGAACGGGUGAGUAACACGGGAGUAACCUGCCCUUGACUUUGGGAUAACUUCAGGAAACUGGGGCUAAUACCGGAUAGGAGCUCCUGCUGCAGGGUGGGGGUUGGAAAGUUUCGGCGGUUGGGGAUGGACUCGGGGCUUAUCAGCUUGUUGGUGGGGUAGUGGCUUACCAAGGCUUUGACGGGUAGCCGGCCUGAGAGGGUGAACGGCCACAUUGGGACUGAGAUACGGCCCAGACUCCUACGGGAGGCAGCAGUGGGGAAUAUUGCACAAUGGGCGGAAGCCUGAUGAAGCAACGCCGCGUGCGGGAUGACGGCCUUCGGGUUGUAAACCGCUUUCGCCUGUGACGAAGCGUGAGUGACGGUAAUGGGUAAAGAAGCACCGGCUAACUACGUG